rnacentral:rRNA from 1 species
UACGAAGGUGGCGAAUGUUGCUCGGAUUCACUGGGCGUAAAGCGUCUGUAGGUGGCUUGUUAAGUUAGAGGUGAAAGCCCCGCGCUCAACGUGGGAACUGCCUUUAAAACUGGCGAGCUUGAGAGUAUCAGAGGAAGGCGGAAUUACUGGUGUAGAGGUGGAAUGCGCAGAUAUCAGGAGGAACACCGAUGGCGAAGGCAGGUCUCUGGGCCAUUACUGACACUGAGAAGCGAAAGCAUGGGGAGCGAACAGG